rnacentral:rRNA from 1 species
GACGAACGCUGGCGGCGUGCCUAAUACAUGCAAGUCGAGCGAAGUUUUUCUGGUGCUUGCACCGGAAAAACUUAGCGGCGAACGGGUGAGUAACACGUAAAGAACCUGCCUCAUAGACUGGGACAACUAUUGGAAACGAUAGCUAAUACCGGAUAAUAGCAUUAACUGCAUGGUUGAUGUUUAAAAGUUGGUUUUGCUAACACUAUGAGAUGGCUUUGCGGUGCAUUAGCUAGUUGGUGGGGUAAAGGCCUACCAAGGCGACAAUGCAUAGCCGACCUGAGAGGGUGAUCGGCCACACUGGGACUGAGACACGGCCCAGACUCCUACGGGAGGCAGCAGUAGGGAAUCUUCCGCAAUGGGCGAAAGCCUGACGGAGCAACGCCGCGUGAGUGAAGAAGGAUUUCGGUUCGUAAAGCUCUGUUGUUAGGGAAGAAUGAUUGUGUAGUAACUAUACACAGUAGAGACGGUACCUAACCAGAAAGCCACGGCUAACUACGUG